CUCAACGCGCUCCCUCCUUCACCCUAUCCCGCCGCCACGACCUUUCGCUGCCAGCCAUGGCACCGCCGGGCUGGCUCCUCCUGCACCCCUGCCAAUCUGCACGGCGGCGGGUGGGCUUCUCCUGCACCCGUGUGACGCCUAGUCCCACCCCCUGCCAAUAUCCACCAUGGCGGGCUGCCAUUUCCGCCCACUAUGCCGCCGGGGCUGCCUCCUCCUGCAUCCGUGCGCCGCCUAGAUCUCCACUGCAGCGAGUCUUCCAUCUAUUGCCCCACACCGCCCCCUUGCCACACUACGUUCCGGCUUAAUCAUACGAGUUGACAACCUCUCGUACCCCAUUGGACCAGGGCAAGGAGAAGGUGUUAGGGGCGGAACCGUCAGCAACGCUGUACUUUAGUUGCAACAUCGCUGGUAGCUUCUCCGCCGACACAUAGCCGAAUCAGUGGUAAUCAAUCGAUUCCCUUGUUUAAUUUCAGCAAUCACCAUGUUUGGAUUCCCUUGUUUAAUUUCAGCAAUCACCAUGUUUGGAUGUUCGUGUUCAUGUUUAAUUUCAGCAAUCGAUUCCCUUGUUUAAUUUCAGAAAUCACCAUGUUUGGAUGUUCACAUCUAAAAUUAAGACAACCUAUAGUCGAUGUCGAUGUUCAUGUUUGGAUUUGUUGGGUUUGCAUCUGAUACUAAUGGUUCUUACUGGUAGAUGUGUUAACUGGCAUGUAUACUCACGACAGGUUCAUGACCAUGCUAUAUACUGAUGAUAUAUUCUUAAUGAAGUCUGCCAAAGGUAGUUUUGACCAUAUUUUUGAAACAGACCAUAUGUUAGAAUGAACUGAACUAAGCUAUGCCUUUGAGGUAAGCCUAUUUCCUCUCCCGUUGAUUCUUCUUCUGACCAACGGGGACACACUAUCCGUCUUGAAUAUUGGAGUGGAAAGACUGGAAGGUAAGACUGGAAGCAACUAUAAAUUCUUCUGAGGAUUUUGACAAUUGUUUUAGUGGCAUAAUUUCAGAGAAGGAUCGGCUUACUGAGAAAUCACCAAUUAAAGUGUUUGGUGACUAGUGAGGAAUCACCAAGUAACCCUACUUCAAAAAUUCUAGGAACAUAUCAGGUCAAGGGAAUUAGGAAUGGUAAGGAGGCAAGGACUAGUUUUUCAUUAUUAUGGAGAAUCUUUUAUUUGGUUGUAACAUACUGCAAAGAUAUGAUCUGAAGAGUGCUCUUUUCUCACGAUAUGUUGCUUAUUCAACAAAUCCCGAGAGUGUACUGUUGGAUCAAAAUUUUAUUGAAGAUAUGCUUACCAUGCCUAUCUACAUUAAAGGACUAACCAAAAAUUUCAUGGAACGAGACAUCCUUUCUAUGUAACAUGAAUGUCAUGGAUUACUCCAUAUUGAUUGGAGUGGACAGACAGAAGAAUGAACUUUUAUUCUGAAUAAUAGAUUACUUGAGGCAAUAUAUCUGGGACAAGCAACUGGAGUCGUGGGUAAAGACAUCGCUUGUUGUUUCCAAGAAUCUAUCUCCAACAGUAAUCUCACCAAAGGAGUACAAAUUAAUAUUCAGGGCAUUUAUGUCUCGGUACUUCAAAUCAGUCGUAGAUGCUCGAGUCUUCAGGCAUGAUCGUUUGAGAUGUUGGUAGCUCAACUUAUCUUGAAUUCUUGAGUAUGGUUCAUGCUCCCGUGGUCAUUGUCUUGCUGGAAAAUAUGGCUUAGUCCAAGCAUGCCUACAACGUCUUAUGUGUUCAGCACUAAGUUUCCUUCUGUUCAUUUUUGUGUUGUGUGUAUCAUUGCACAUAUUGUUUCUCGCCUGUUGUACAUAGCAUUCGGACUUAAGAUACACUCAAAAGGAAAAUCAGUGGUGAUUGACAUGCACAUAACCAAAGAUAUGUUCUUUGUUGAUGAUCGUGCUGCCAAAUUUUGAACCGAAAUAAAUGUGCCCAGAAUUUGAUGAAACUUUGACACAAAGAUAACCAUAUGAUGACUAGUGUUCUGGGAAA